CAAAUUGAGAGUUUGAUCCUGGCUCAGGACGAACGCUGGCGGCGUGCCUAAUACAUGCAAGUCGAGCGAGCUGAAUUCAAAGAUCCCUUCGGGGUGAUUUGUUGGACGCUAGCGGCGGAUGGGUGAGUAACACGUGGGCAAUCUGCCCUAAAGACUGGGAUACCACUUGGAAACAGGUGCUAAUACCGGAUAACAACAUGAAUCGCAUGAUUCAAGUUUGAAAGGCGGCGUAAGCUGUCACUUUAGGAUGAGCCCGCGGCGCAUUAGCUAGUUGGUGGGGUAAAGGCCUACCAAGGCAAUGAUGCGUAGCCGAGUUGAGAGACUGAUCGGCCACAUUGGGACUGAGACACGGCCCAAACUCCUACGGGAGGCAGCAGUAGGGAAUCUUCCACAAUGGACGCAAGUCUGAUGGAGCAACGCCGCGUGAGUGAAGAAGGUUUUCGGAUCGUAAAGCUCUGUUGUUGGUGAAGAAGGAUAGAGGCAGUAACUGGUCUUUAUUUGACGGUAAUCAACCAGAAAGUCACGGCUAACUACGUGCCAGCAGCCGCGGUAAUACGUAGGUGGCAAGCGUUGUCCGGAUUUAUUGGGCGUAAAGCGAGCGCAGGCGGAAUGAUAAGUCUGAUGUGAAAGCCCACGGCUCAACCGUGGAACUGCAUCGGAAACUGUCAUUCUUGAGUGCAGAAGAGGAGAGUGGAAUUCCAUGUGUAGCGGUGGAAUGCGUAGAUAUAUGGAAGAACACCAGUGGCGAAGGCGGCUCUCUGGUCUGCAACUGACGCUGAGGCUCGAAAGCAUGGGUAGCGAACAGGAUUAGAUACCCUGGUAGUCCAUGCCGUA
rnacentral:rRNA from 1 species